rnacentral:lncRNA from 1 species
AAAGUAGGAAAAAUCGUGCAAAGGAAAGGUGGGUGGAAGAUAGUGGGAAGUUGGUUGAUCCCAUCAACUUUCAAGUGGUCCCCGGCAAGGAUUGAUACACCUAUAGUAAAUCGAUCAUAACUUGUCCAAUACAGCUUCAAAUGACUUGAAACCACUUCCAUUGGAAAGCUAACUCAAUUUCCAGUGUCUCCACAAAUUUUGAGCUUCAGAAAAGAUCUUUAAGGCUUUCAUCCGUGUUCAUCUUUCACUCUCCGGAUUCGGGAGCGACCUCGCUGUGUCGCUGCGAGAGGUCGCUCCGGAUUCGUUGUCUCCGGGUGAUCAAUACGCGAGCGACUCUUCCCUGUCGCUCUAGUAAGGUCGCUCUGAUAGGGAGAUCAGAGCGACUUGACGGUGUCGCUCCCAGCUGGUCGCUCUGGUAAGGUGCUCGCCCAAUGAUCACUUUUAACAUUUCUUUUGGACUCCAAUCGCACUCAAAAUCCCACCAAUGGUCCUCUAAUUCAUCCAUGGUGCUCUCCAACACCUGAUAUGUACAAAUGCAAUGAUAUGCAACCUAAAUGUGCCUAAAUGAUGCUCUAAAUGACCAAACCAUGCAAGAAUAAGAAGUUAAAAACAUGUAAAUU